CCUACGGGAGGCAGCAGUAAGGAAUAUUGGUCAAUGGACGAAAGUCUGAACCAGCCAUGCCGCGUGAAGGAUUAAGGCCCUCUGGGUUGUAAACUUCUUUUAUCUGGGACGAAAAAAGGGUAUUCUUACUCACUUGACGGUACCAGAGGAAUAAGCACCGGCUAACUCCGUGCCAGCAGCCGCGGUAAUACGGAGGGUGCAAGCGUUAUCCGGAUUUACUGGGUUUAAAGGGUGCGUAGGUGGGCUUGUAAGUCAGUGGUGAAAUCUCCGGGCUUAACCCGGAAACUGCCAUUGAUACUAUAGGUCUUGAAUUAUCUGGAGGUAAGCGGAAUAUGUCAUGUAGCGGUGAAAUGCUUAGAUAUGACAUAGAACACCAAUUGCGAAGGCAGCUUACUACGGAUAUAUUGACACUGAGGCACGAAAGCGUGGGGAUCAAACAGGAUUAGAUACCCUGGUAGUCCACGCCCUAAACGAUGGAUACUCGACAUCAGCGAUACACUGUUGGUGUCUGAGNGAAGANAUAAGUAUCCACCNGGAAGACGAGCGCGAAGAGUUAGUUAAACGUUACUAAAUUAGAAGUUAGACGGCGUUGAGACGUUGCCGACGGACGACGACGAGGGGAGGAGGGAG
rnacentral:rRNA from 1 species